GGGGCCGUAGCCCAACGGCAGGAGGCACCAGGUUUAGGUCCUGUUCAGUGCGGGUUCGAAUCCCGCCGGCCCCA
rnacentral:tRNA from 2 species